AUGGGCAGGGCUGCACGGGGGUUGGACCUUGAUGGGCUUUAAGGUCCCCUCCAACCCAAGCCAUUCUGUGAUUCUAUGACAUCACCCUGUCACUGAGCCACACAUACCCUGACAGCAGCAGUGGCUCCACAGGAGCUAGGCAUGCCCCGAGGAGCCAGCCCAUGCACAACCAUCUUGUUUCCUCCAAUGGACUGGCAGCUGCCCAUGCUGCAGUCAGUAAUUUGAUAAGAAAUCUCUGUGUCACUUCUGCUUGUUCGUCAGUGUGUGGCCUGCUGGAAAUGCAAAACCAGCACUUAAAAGCCAAAGACAAGACAAAGAUAACAUGACGUAUGGGGGCAAGCUGAGAUGAUGCUGCACACAGCAGGGAUCCAGGAUAUUACUGCAAUUCCAGGUUCAUUCCAUUACAAGGACGUAGGAUGGAGUGUCCAGGUGGGAAUCCUUAAUCGCAGAUCUGCCUUUUGCUACAAAGCACAAUGACCACCAUUGAGAUUACCUUUCUGCUUCAGCAUCUUCAUGGAAGUGAGGCAGAGAGAAGCUGAGGAGGAGGGCAGGGUCUCACCACAGCUGCUUCGUGCCCAUGACUUGCAAGAUCAGCCGGAGCUCUCCACCUUUACAGUCCAGCUGAGGUAACAUUCAGCAUCAGAGAUGGUCUUUCAUCUUUGUCACCAUUCUGUAUUUACCACCAAGGAGAGAAUGAAGAUACAACAGCGAGCAACACACCCUGUAGCCUCGGAGCUAAUUACGCAUCUUUUCUUCACAAACUAAAUGGAAAACACAUGAGCUUGGAAGAUAACCACGGAGCAAUUAAACACGUGCUUGUCAACGUGUCACGAGUAGCGUGUUGUUACAGUUGAAACGAAAACACAAAAUGCCUCCUGAUUGAACUUCAGAAUAAUUAGCACAUCACGGAGCACAGCCAUGACAAGUACCUGUCAACAGUUAUCAGCGCAGCGAUGAGAUUUUUCACUGUGAAUAAUAAUGUCAUUUUCCAUUUCUGAAUAGCAACACUUUUUUUUUUCUUUUGAAGAAUCAGCAUUGUUCAAACAGAUACAAAUAUAUCCUCCGUAAAACAAGAUUUCGUUCUCCUCAGUUAACACUCACACAGAACUGUUUCAUAGGUUUUGUAACCAAAUCUCUUAAUUCCAUACACAAAAGCAAACAACGCUCUACAUCCAUGUAACUACUGAAGAGAGGGCUCUGCCUGUGCAAUGUAGCUUUCCUCAGCCAAUGCCCAUAUCUCACAGAAUGCUUUGUCUAUGUGCCAGGCUGCAAAUUGUGAAUGCUCUGGACUUGUACUAAGCUAGUGAUUUCUUGUAGGACCCAUAAAAUGCCCCCCCCCAAAAAAAAAAGUGCUGUAAAGUUCUAAACUGCUCACCUGGUCUGUUUUCUGUAAACAAGUUAGUUAUUAAUAGAUAUGAUUUAAAAUGCAAGUUGAAUCGCACACACUGACAAGUUCAGUCUCACCCUUUUUGGGUAGCUGUGUGCAAUUUUAUGCUUGUUGACUAUGACUUCAAUUAACAAGUCCUAGGGGUUUAGAUGUUUUGGUCUUUAGAGUCUGUUAAAGGGAAAAAAUGCCUCCUGCUAGCAACAACAUACUGAUAGUCCUGUAAAGACAAGUUAUGACAGAAAGGCUGGAAAAAAUCAGCUUAGGAUCAACCGCAGGUAUUGAGAGUAGGGUAGGAGCCAAAUCCCCUACCUGAUGUAGCUGACAUCAAAAUCAGUGUGUUGAUUUGCCCAACCGAGGAUGUGGUUUUCCCAUUCCCAGCAUACCGCAGCAUUCCUCUCUUCCAGCUCUGCCUGUGCUCUGAAAAAAAUCAUGUAUCAGCACAACAAAGUACCACAAAGAGGUAUUUAGUGAGCUUUGAGAGCCCUGUGUUUGGGCAGCCACUGUGGUACAGCCAAGCCAGCCAAGCGCCCUGCCCAGGCUAGGAAGCAGAGGUAACUUCAAGGGAGCUCAAGCAUUUCUGCAUGGCACAAUGUUGUGACAUAGGGUAUUGCCUUAUGUGAGAAUUAAAUCAAUUCCUGUAGCCAUUCCCAACUUGGCUUCUCUUCCCAUCAGAAUGGCAGCUUCUAUUGCCAACUAGAUCUAGUUUGGUGCCUUCACAGCAAAAACUCUCAAUUCCGAUCAACAGGAUUAAGCGGCUGAUCCUUGGAGAUGGCUCAUCUCCACACAGAACACAGAAACCCACCUCCACAAAAAUAUGUUUAAUUACAACACACCAAUUCUGCCAAGACUUCAUACCCCAUUGGGGUUGGAUGGGCCUUGUUGGUCUUUGGCCAUUUAAAAGGUAGGAAUCUCCCUUAAGUGGUAGUAGAAGCUGCUGCUAUCAUGUGUGAGAAGACACCAGUACCUCCAGGCAGCAAGAUAUCUCACCUGCCUUAGACCCUUGUAUCUGCUGUUUCCAAACUUUGCACAAAGCCCAAGAUGGCCUAGAAAUUUGGACCGUGACUGGAAUUGCUAUGCGCCAAGCUCGGCUUGGAUCUUUGCUGAUACUGACAUAGCAGUACAAAUAACACAAAAAUCUGCACUAUGUUUCCAGUUCUGACUUGCCUCAGUGUGAGAAGCCCCUCUCCUCAAUGUGCAAAUUCUAUAGCACCAGAGCCAUGGAAAGAAAAAGAAUGAAAAAGCAAGUUGAAGACUUGAGCCUCAGGAAGACUGUCUGCCAGCUUGCAUCUUCCUCUGAGUAUUUGCUGUCAAGCUGGGUGGUGAGGAAUGGGAGCACAUCAGGUGGAUAAAGCUGGUUCUCUGUGCCAAGCUUCCACACCAUGCAAAGUUCAAAUUAGAUUUUGUUUAAAACAUAACAACAAAGAUCUUCAAGGGCAAGAUAUGUCUCUUUGUCUCUAUUCCCUUAAGCACUAAGCCAAAAAUUUCUAUAUUUCUACCCACCACAAGAAAGGUCGAAGGCUACCAAACGUUUCUGUCUGUGGGAUUUAAGGCUCACCAGCAAACAUGAGAAGAAAUCAAGAGGACAGAAGCUGCUGAAAUUUCUGACAGCUCUCCACAAAUCUGUGGUGUGCACAGAAUUCCUACAGUGAUCCAGCAGCUGUUGGUGGCUCCCUGACCUGGAGCUGUCCCAUUACCCGGGUGGCCAGACUGCCUGUGAGCACUGUGUGGCUUUUGGGUGCCCAUAACAUAACAAGGACGUAAAAUUAUUACAGAGAGUCCAGAGGGCUGCAGAGACAGCAAAUGGUAUGGGAGUCAAGCCACAUGAGGAGUGACUGAGGGCCCUUGGCUGGCUCAGCCCAGAACAGAGGAGCUGAGGGGAGGCCUCACGGCGGCUGCAGCUCCUCAUAGGGAGCGGAGGGGCAGCGCUGAGCUCUGCUCUCUGUGGCAGUGACAGGGCCCGAGGGAACGGCAUGGAGCUGUGUCAGGGGAGGGGCAGCUGGGGGUUAGGGAGUUCUGCACCAGAGGGCGGUGGGCAUGAACAGGCUGCACGGGGCAGCGGGCAUGGCCGCGGGUUGCUGGAGUUCAUAGGGCAUUUGAACAACGCUCUCAGACAUAGGGUUUGGAUUUUGGGCAGUGCUGUGUGGAGCUAGGGUUUGGACUCUAUGAUCCUUGGUGUCCCUUCCAACUCAGGAUGUUCUGUGAUUCCAUGAGGCAGGGCCAGCUAGGGAGCAUUCCUUCCCCCAUGAAGUGUGGCAGCAGCAAGUGCAGAAGAACUGAGCUUGUGGCUGCCAGCACUAAUCACCCUCCAGAGACAAUUACUAUAAUCCUUCUGCGUCCCCUGUGGUUAAUGUAGCAGCCAGGGCAGACACAUGAGGACUUCCCCACAGCUGUGUGCAGAGGCUCAUGGCUGGAAGAUCUCAGUCAGAGAGGAUAAUGCCAUCUUUGCACAGCACCAUCGGAUCAAUGUGCAGCGCCGACGGAGGAAAACAGAACGCUCUUUAGCAACAAUACAAAUGUGCUCUGCAACAUCUGUGUGGUGUCAGGAUGACUCCAAGAUGGAAACGGAUUACCUCGCACAUAAGCUGCAGGGCUAACAACAACUGGUGGGGAAAGGAAAUCUUCGCAAAGCAAACGCUUCACUCAGAAACAUUUCUUUGUAUAUUUUAAAGUAUAAAACUUCCGCAUUGCGGAGAUGCAGAAAAAGAUGCCACUUCAAUUUGUUCAACAAUUCAAGACUCUGGAAAGAUACUGAAUUCAAUAUCAGCAUGAUUUACAUGGGAUUAGUUUAAGUUCAUCCCUUAUUACGUUGGGCUGCUUUUUGAGAAGAUAUGCUGUUGGCUCAGUUAAGGCUGCUGAAAGGCAGUGCCCCAGAACUGACCCUGACAGGAUCUGAUGUCCUAUCUCCCAGAACAAGAUGAGAAGGUAAAGGCUAUAAAAUCCCAUGUGUAUAAAAAUAAUAAUACAAAAUAUAUUGAAAAGCUGUUAUGAAAACUUUGAGUAUACAGAAGGAUGAUUCCUGUAUGUUCAUACGGUCAUAGAAUAUCCCAAAUUGGAAAGUACGGCCUGAGGUGGUCACUGUGUUAAUCCCUCACCCUGCAUGCAUACAAUUCAUGUUUUUCAGUACAGUUAUAUUUUUAGGCUCAUCCAGUGGCUGUGAGUUCCGCUUAGUUAUGUGUCAUGCCGAAAACCAACAAACAAAAAUCCUCGCAACCUUCCAUGGUUUUUGUUGAAGGCAGCAGCUUCGUGACAGCUCAGCUUCUUUAACCAUAGCUCUUGUGUGGUGAGAAAUUGCACUCGCCUGCCUUUCCCACAAGCUGUAUGGUUUGGGGACUGGUGAAAACAUGCUUUUAGGAGAACUCCCUAAGACAAGUCUGACACUGCAAAAACCUUGCAAAGAAACAAAGGGAAAAAUGAGAGCA